rnacentral:rRNA from 1 species
GGGUUGUGAGGUUAAGCGACUAAGCGUACACGGUGGAUGCCCUGGCAGUCAGAGGCGAUGAAGGACGUGCUAAUCUGCGAAAAGCGUCGGUAAGGUGAUAUGAACCGUUACAGCCGGCGAUGUCCGAAUGGGGAAACCCAGUGCAAUUCGUUGCACUAUCGUUAACUGAAUACAUAGGUUAACGAGGCGAACCGGGGGAACUGAAACAUCUAAGUACCCCGAGGAAAAGAAAUCAACCGAGAUUCCCCCAGUAGCGGCGAGCGAACGGGGAGCAGCCCAGAGUCUGAAUCAGCUUGUGUGUUAGUGGAACGGUCUGGAAAGUCCGACGGUACAGGGUGAUAGUCCCGUACACCAAAAUGCACAGGCUGUGAACUCGAAGAGUAGGGCGGGACACGUGGUAUCCUGUCUGAAUAUGGGGGGACCAUCCUCCAAGGCUAAAUACUCCUGACUGACCGAUAGUGAACCAGUACCGUGAGGGAAAGGCGAAAAGAACCCCGGCGAGGGGAGUGAAAAAGAACCUGAAACCGUGUACGUACAAGCAGUGGGAGCACCUUCGGGUGUGACUGCGUACCUUUUGUAUAAUGGGUCAGCGACUUAUAUUCUGUAGCAAGGUUAACCGUAUAGGGGAGCCGCAGGGAAACCGAGUCUUAACUGGGCGUUAAGUUGCAGGGUAUAGACCCGAAACCCGGUGAUCUAGCCAUGGGCAGGUUGAAGGUUGGGUAACACUAACUGGAGGACCGAACCGACUAAUGUUGAAAAAUUAGCGGAUGACUUGUGGCUGGGGGUGAAAGGCCAAUCAAACCGGGAGAUAGCUGGUUCUCCCCGAAAGCUAUUUAGGUAGCGCCUCGUGAAUUCAUCUUCGGGGGUAGAGCACUGUUUCGGCUAGGGGGUCAUCCCGACUUACCAACCCGAUGCAAACUACGAAUACCGAAGAAUGUUAUCACGGGAGACACACGGCGGGUGCUAACGUCCGUCGUGAAGAGGGAAACAACCCAGACCGCCAGCUAAGGUCCCAAAGUCAUGGUUAAGUGGGAAACGAUGUGGGAAGGCACAGACAGCCAGGAUGUUGGCUUAGAAGCAGCCAUCAUUUAAAGAAAGCGUAAUAGCUCACUGGUCGAGUCGGCCUGCGCGGAAGAUGUAACGGGGCUAAACCAUGCACCGAAGCUGCGGCAGCGACACUAUGUGUUGUUGGGUAGGGGAGCGUUCUGUAAGCCUGCGAAGGUGUGCUGUGAGGCAUGCUGGAGGUAUCAGAAGUGCGAAUGCUGACAUAAGUAACGAUAAAGCGGGUGAAAAGCCCGCUCGCCGGAAGACCAAGGGUUCCUGUCCAACGUUAAUCGGGGCAGGGUGAGUCGACCCCUAAGGCGAGGCCGAAAGGCGUAGUCGAUGGGAAACAGGUUAAUAUUCCUGUACUUGGUGUUACUGCGAAGGGGGGACGGAGAAGGCUAUGUUAGCCGGGCGACGGUUGUCCCGGUUUAAGCAUGUAGGCUGGUUGUCCAGGCAAAUCCGGAUAAUCAAGGCUGAGGUGUGAUGACGAGGCACUACGGUGCUGAAGUAACAAAUGCCCUGCUUCCAGGAAAAGCCUCUAAGCAUCAGGUAACAUCAAAUCGUACCCCAAACCGACACAGGUGGUCAGGUAGAGAAUACCAAGGCGCUUGAGAGAACUCGGGUGAAGGAACUAGGCAAAAUGGUGCCGUAACUUCGGGAGAAGGCACGCUGGUGUGUAGGUGAAGCCCCUGCGGGUGGAGCUGAGACCAGUCGAAGAUACCAGCUGGCUGCAACUGUUUAUUAAAAACACAGCACUGUGCAAACACGAAAGUGGACGUAUACGGUGUGACGCCUGCCCGGUGCCGGAAGGUUAAUUGAUGGGGUUAUCCGUAAGGAGAAGCUCUUGAUCGAAGCCCCGGUAAACGGCGGCCGUAACUAUAACGGUCCUAAGGUAGCGAAAUUCCUUGUCGGGUAAGUUCCGACCUGCACGAAUGGCGUAAUGAUGGCCAGGCUGUCUCCACCCGAGACUCAGUGAAAUUGAACUCGCUGUGAAGAUGCAGUGUACCCGCGGCAAGACGGAAAGACCCCGUGAACCUUUACUAUAGCUUGACACUGAACAUUGAGCCUUGAUGUGUAGGAUAGGUGGGAGGCUUUGAAGCGUGGACGCCAGUCUGCGUGGAGCCAACCUUGAAAUACCACCCUUUAAUGUUUGAUGUUCUAACGUUGGCCCCUUACCGGGGUUGCGGACAGUGUCUGGUGGGUAGUUUGACUGGGGCGGUCUCCUCCCAAAGCGUAACGGAGGAGCACGAAGGUUAGCUAAUCCUGGUCGGACAUCAGGAGGUUAGUGCAAUGGCAUAAGCUAGCUUGACUGCGAGCGUGACGGCGCGAGCAGGUGCGAAAGCAGGUCAUAGUGAUCCGGUGGUUCUGAAUGGAAGGGCCAUCGCUCAACGGAUAAAAGGUACUCCGGGGAUAACAGGCUGAUACCGCCCAAGAGUUCAUAUCGACGGCGGUGUUUGGCACCUCGAUGUCGGCUCAUCACAUCCUGGGGCUGAAGUAGGUCCCAAGGGUAUGGCUGUUCGCCAUUUAAAGUGGUACGCGAGCUGGGUUUAGAACGUCGUGAGACAGUUCGGUCCCUAUCUGCCGUGGGCGCUGGAGAAUUGAGGGGGGCUGCUCCUAGUACGAGAGGACCGGAGUGGACGCAUCACUGGUGUUCGGGUUGUCAUGCCAAUGGCACUGCCCGGUAGCUAAAUGCGGAAGAGAUAAGUGCUGAAAGCAUCUAAGCACGAAACUUGCCCCGAGAUGAGUUCUCCCUGAGACUUUAAGUCUCCUGAAGGAACGUU